UACAGAGGUCUCAAGCGUUGUUCGGAUUCAUUGGGCGUAAAGGGUGUGUAGGUGGCGCCGUAAGUCGGGUGUAAAAUUUCGGAGCUUAACUCCGAAACUGCAUUCGAUACUGCGGUGCUUGAGGACUGGAGAGGAGACUGGAAUUCAUGGUGUAGCAGUGAAAUGCGUAGAGAUCAUGAGGAAGACCAGUGGCGAAGGCGGGUCUCUGGACAGUUCCUGACACUGAGGCACGAAGGCCAGGGGAGCAAACGGG
rnacentral:rRNA from 1 species